rnacentral:rRNA from 1 species
GGGGAAUAUUGGGCAAUGGAGGAAACUCUGACCCAGCAACGCCGCGUGAAUGAUGAAGGUCUUCGGAUUGUAAAGUUCUUUUCUAAGGGAAGAAGAAAGUGACGGUACCUUAGGAAUAAGCCUCGGCUAACUACGUGCCAGCAGCCGCGGUAAUACGUAGGAGGCGAGCGUUAUCCGGAAUGAUUGGGCGUAAAGGGUGCGUAGGUGGUUUGGCAAGUUAGUACCGUAACUCCAAGGCUCAACCUUGGAACUACUACUAAAACUGUUGGACUUGAGUGCAGGAGGGGCAACCGGAAUUCCUAGUGUAGCGGUGGAAUGCGUAGAUAUUAGGAGGAACACCAGUGGCGAAGGCGGGUUGCUAGACUGUAACUGACACUGAGGCACGAAAGCGUGGGGAGCAAACAGG